rnacentral:rRNA from 1 species
AUGCACCCCGAUGAGAGGGAAGCUGUCAUCGACGACCUCAUGGCGUUCCAAGAGAGCAAGGAAUACUAUGCCAAGGUCGGCAAGGCAUGGAAGCACGGGUACCUCCUUUACGGACCGCCCGGCACCGGCAAGUCCACCAUGAUCGCCGCCAUGGCCAACUUCCUCAACUAUGACGUCUAUGACCUCGAGGUCACAGCGAUCAAGAACAACAACGAGUUGCGGAAGCUCUUCGUUGAGACAACAAGCAAGUCUACCAUCGACUGCUCCAUCGACCUCACUGGAAAACACCGCACGGACAAGAAGGCCUCAAGCAACAAGGACCCAGACAACAAUGACAAUCCCAAGCUACCGAUAGACCCGGAGAAGGACGAUGCCACCAAGGUGACGCCUUCAGGCCUGCUUAACUUCAUCGACGGGUUGUGGUCUGCUUGCGGAGGUGAAAGGACUAUCAUCUUCACCACCAACCACAAGGAGAAGCUAGACCCGGCGCUGAUCCGGCGGGGCAGGAUGGACAAACACAUCGAGAUGUCCUACUGCCGCUUUGAGGGCUUCAAGAGAACCUGA